rnacentral:rRNA from 1 species
GACGAACGCUGGCGGCGUGCCUAAUACAUGCAAGUAGAACGCUGAAGGAGGAGCUUGCUUCUCUGGAUGAGUUGCGAACGGGUGAGUAACGCGUAGGUAACCUGCCUGGUAGUGGGGGAUAACUAUUGGAAACGAUAGCUAAUACCGCAUAAUAGCAGUUGUUGCAUGAUAACUGUUUGAAAGGUGCAAUUGCACCGCUACCAGAUGGACCUGCGUUGUAUUAGCUAGUUGGUGGGGUAACGGCUCACCAAGGCGACGAUACAUAGCCGACCUGAGAGGGUGAUCGGCCACACUGGGACUGAGACACGGCCCAGACUCCUACGGGAGGCAGCAGUAGGGAAUCUUCGGCAAUAGACGGAAGUCUGACCGAGCAACGCCGCGUGAGUGAAGAAGGUUUUCGGAUCGUAAAGCUCUGUUGUAAGAGAAGAACGAGUGUGAGAGUGGAAAGUUCACACUGUGACGGUAUCUUACCAGAAAGGGACGGCUAACUACGUG